rnacentral:lncRNA from 1 species
UGGUGGGGAAAUAAAUAAUCCCCGUCCUCUUCCCUGCACACCCACGUUGCAGAAGUGAAAAAAAAAAACUCUCAUAAAAUUAUGGACUAGUAUUUAAUAUAAAAUUAUGAAUUAAAAAUAUGAUUUUUUGAAAUCAUAAUUUCAAAUCACGAUUUUACUGGUGCCAUACCGCUAGUCAAGUUGGGAUUUUACGCAUGACACGUGCCGAACAAUAGAUUAAAAA